rnacentral:rRNA from 1 species
UACGUAGGUCCCGAGCGUUGUCCGGAUUUAUUGGGCGUAAAGCGAGCGCAGGUGGUUUAUUAAGUCUGGUGUAAAAGGCAGUGGCUCAACCAUUGUAUGCAUUGGAAACUGGUAGACUUGAGUGCAGGAGAGGAGAGUGGAAUUCCAUGUGUAGCGGUGAAAUGUGUAGAUAUAUGGAGGAACACCGGUGGCGAGAGCGGCUCUCUGGCCUGUAACUGACACUGAGGCUCGAAAGCGUGGGGAGCAAACAGG